rnacentral:rRNA from 1 species
AUUGAACGCUGGCGGCAUGCCUUACACAUGCAAGUCGAACGGCAGCACGGGAGCAAUCCUGGUGGCGAGUGGCGAACGGGUGAGUAAUAUAUCGGAACGUGCCCGGUCGUGGGGAUAACGUAGCGAAAGCUACGCUAAUACCGCAUACGAUCUACGGAUGAAAGCGGGGGAUCGCAAGACCUCGCGCGAUUGGAGCGGCCGAUAUCAGAUUAGGUAGUUGGUGAGGUAAAGGCUCACCAAGCCGACGAUCUGUAGCUGGUCUGAGAGGACGACCAGCCACACUGGGACUGAGACACGGCCCAGACUCCUACGGGAGCAGCAGUGGGGAAUUUUGGAACAAGUGGGCGCAAGCCUGAUCCAGCAAUGCCGCGUGCGAGGAUGAAGGCCUUCGGG